UUGUUACUUAAUGAUAACUUUGUUUUCCGCUUACUGCUCCUACACUAGCUAUUGACAUUUAUUAAGGUAGGGCACUCAAGGUCUAUUAACAGAUUGCGUAUUAUUACAUAAUUUUUGUAUAUGACUGUUUGUUGCCUAAAUUAAAAAAAAAAAAGUA